rnacentral:rRNA from 1 species
CGGCGGAUGGGUGAGUAUCACGUGGGCAACCUGCCUGUAAGCUCGGGAUAACUCGCGGAAACGCGGGCUAAUACCGAAUGACCCUUGCAUCCGCAUGGAUGCAAGAUAAAAGGCGGCUUUUGCUGUCACUUACAGAUGGGCCCGCGGCGCAUUAGCUAGUUGGUGGGGUAAUGGCUCACCAAAGCGACGAUGCGUAGCCGACCUGAGAGGGUGAUCGGCCACACUGGGACUGAGACACGGCCCAGACUCCUACUGGAGGCAGCAGUAGGGAAUCUUCCGCAAUGGACGAAAGUCUGACGGAGCAACGCCGCGUGAGUGACGAAGGUCUUCGGAUCGUAAAACUCUGUUGUCAGGGAAGAACAAGCAUCGGCCGAAUAAGCCGGCGCCUUGACGGUACCUGACCAGAAAGCCCCGGCUAACUACGUGCCAGCAGCCGCGGUAAUACGUAGGGGGCAAGCGUUGUCCGGAAUUAUUGGGCGUAAA